GCAGUCGACGAUGAUGCCAGCUUGCUGGUGGAUUAGUGGCGAACGGGUGAGUAACACGUGAGUAACCUGCCCUUAACUCUGGGAUAAGCCUGGGAAACUGGGUCUAAUACCGGAUAUGACUCCUCAUCGCAUGGUGGGGGGUGGAAAGCUUUUUGUGGUUUUGGAUGGACUCGCGGCCUAUCAGCUUGUUGGUGAGGUAAUGGCUUACCAAGGCGACGACGGGUAGCCGGCCUGAGAGGGUGACCGGCCACACUGGGACUGAGACACGGCCCAGACUCCUACGGGAGGCAGCAGUGGGGAAUAUUGCACAAUGGGCGCAAGCCUGAUGCAGCGACGCCGCGUGAGGGAUGACGGCCUUCGGGUUGUAAACCUCUUUCAGUAGGGAAGAAGCGAAAGUGACGGUACCUGCAGAAGAAGCGCCGGCUAACUACGUGCCAGCAGCCGCGGUAAUACGUAGGGCGCAAGCGUUAUCCGGAAUUAUUGGGCGUAAAGAGCUCGUAGGCGGUUUGUCGCGUCUGCCGUGAAAGUCCGGGGCUCAACUCCGGAUCUGCGGUGGGUACGGGCAGACUAGAGUGAUGUAGGGGAGACUGGAAUUCCUGGUGUAGCGGUGAAAUGCGCAGAUAUCAGGAGGAACACCGAUGGCGAAGGCAGGUCUCUGGGCAUUAACUGACGCUGAGGAGCGAAAGCAUGGGGAGCGAACAGGAUUAGAUACCCUGGUAGUCCAUGCCGUAAACGUUGGGCACUAGGUGUGGGGGACAUUCCACGUUUUCCGCGCCGUAGCUAACGCAUUAAGUGCCCCGCCUGGGGAGUACGGCCGCAAGGCUAAAACUCAAAGGAAUUGA
rnacentral:rRNA from 1 species